CAACAGGGAUUGCCCUAGUAACGGCGAGUGAAGCGGCAACAGCUCAAAUUUGAAAUCUGGCCUCGGCCCGAGUUGUAAUUUGCAGAGGAUGCUUCUGGCGCGGUGCCUUCCGAGUUCCCUGGAACGGGACGCCACAGAGGGUGAGAGCCCCGUAUGGUCGGACACCAAGCCUGUGUGAAGCUCCUUCGACGAGUCGAGUAGUUUGGGAAUGCUGCUCUAAAUGGGAGGUAAAUCUCUUCUAAAGCUAAAUACCGGCCAGAGACCGAUAGCGCACAAGUAGAGUGAUCGAAAGAUGAAAAGCACCUUGAAAAGGGGGUUAAAUAGUACGUGAAAUUGUUGAAAGGGAAGCACUUAUGACCAGACUUGGGCCGGGCGGCUCAUCAGGGGUUCUCCCCUGUGCACUCCGCCCGGCACAGGCCAGCAUCGGUUCUCGUGGGGGGAUAAGACCGUCAGGAACGUAGCACUCUCCGGAGUGUGUUAUAGCCUGGCGGACGAUACCCCCGUGGGGACCGAGGUCCGCGCAUGCAAGGAUGCUG
rnacentral:rRNA from 1 species